rfam:Trichobilharzia regenti genome assembly, scaffold: TRE_scaffold0010208
GUCCAGCUGACGAGUCCCAAAUGGAAAGAAAUGCGCAUCCUGGAU